ensembl:snoRNA small nucleolar RNA SNORA25
AGGUCAUUUCAAAGAGGGCUGAUGGGACCAAAUCCAGGGGCUCUUAUCACUGUGACCAAAGAUUGAGUUCUUCAGAGGAUAUAACAGUCACUCAUUAGUGCUAUGUUUUCCUGAUGGAGAUACAAGA